AUUGCUUCUCGGUCUUUUGGCUAAGAUCAAGUGUAGUAUCAAGUGUAAUAACAGUCCUAAUUAACUUGAGUAUUUCAUCAGCCAAAAUCAGGCCCACACUUUCCACUGAAAUAUUGGUAAGUUUAUGUUGGUUAAAAUUGUUCUUCAUUUUAAACAUAGUACUGUUCAUUUUUUUUGCUCUACAAAUAAGAUGUGUGCAGUGUGCAU
ensembl:snRNA U2 U2 spliceosomal RNA